rnacentral:rRNA from 1 species
UAGGGAAUCUUCCGCAAUGGACGCAAGUCUGACGGAGCAACGCCGCGUGAGUGAAGAAGGAUUUCGGUUCGUAAAACUCUGUUGUUAGAGAAGAACAGCGCAUAGAGUAACUGUUAUGCGUGUGACGGUAUCUAACCAGAAAGCCACGGCUAACUACGUGCCAGCAGCCGCGGUAAUACGUAGGUCCCGAGCGUUGUCCGGAUUUAUUGGGCGUAAAGCGAGCGCAGGCGAUUAGAUAAGUCUGAAGUUAAAGGCAGUGGCUCAACCAUUGUCGGCUUUGGAAACUGUUUGACUUGAGUGCAGAAGGUGAGAGUGGAAUUCCAGGUGUAGCGGUGAAAUGCGUAGAUAUAUAGAGGAACACCGGUGACGAAGGCGGCUCUCUGGUCUGUAACUGACGAUGAGGCUCGAAAGCGUGGGGAGCGAACAGG